rnacentral:rRNA from 1 species
GGAAUAUUCCACAAUGGGCGAAAGCCUGAUGGAGCGACGCCGCGUGAGUGAAGAAGGGCUUCGGCUCGUAAAGCUCUUUUCUUGAGGACGAAUGACCUAUUAGAUAGGUAGAGACGGUACUUAGGGAAUAAGCCACGGCUAACUACGUGCCAGCAGCCGCGGUAAUACGUAGGUGGCAAGCGUUGUCCGGAAUUAUUGGGCGUAAAGGGAGCGCAGGCGGGCUCACAAGUCCAAAUUAAAAGUGCAGGAGUAAUGCCUGUGAUGGUUUGGAAACUGUGAGCCUUGAGAGCAGGAGAGGCAAGCGGAAUUCCCGGUGGAGCGGUGAAAUGCGUAGAUAUCGGGAGGAACACCAGUGGCGAAGGCGGCUUGCUGGACUGAAUCUGACGCUGAGGCUCGAAAGCCAGGGUAGCGAACG